UACAGAGGUCUCAAGCGUUGUUCGGAUUCAUUGGGCGUAAAGGGUGCGUAGGUGGCGCCGUAAGUCAGGUGUGAAAUUUCGGAGCUUAACUCCGAAACUGCAUUUGAUACUGCGGUGCUUGAGGACUGGAGAGGGGACUGGAAUUCUCGGUGUAGCAGUGAAAUGCGUAGAUAUCGAGAGGAACACCAGUGGCGAAGGCGAGUCCCUGGACAACUCCUGACACUGAGGCACGAAAGCUAGGGGAGCAAACAGG
rnacentral:rRNA from 1 species